rnacentral:rRNA from 1 species
CCUACGGGAGGCAGCAGUGGGGAAUAUUGCACAAUGGGCGCAAGCCUGAUGCAGCCAUGCCGCGUGUGUGAAGAAGGCCCUCGGGUUGUAAAGCACUUUCAGCGGGGAGGAAGGCGGUGAGGUUAAUAACCUCAUCGAUUGACGUUACCCGCAGAAGAAGCACCGGCUAACUCCGUGCCAGCAGCCGCGGUAAUACGGAGGGUGCAAGCGUUAAUCGGAAUUACUGGGCGUAAAGCGCACGCAGGCGGUCUGUCAAGUCGGAUGUGAAAUCCCCGGGCUCAACCUGGGAACUGCAUUCGAAACUGGCAGGCUAGAGUCUUGUAGAGGGGGGGAGAAUUCCAGGUGUAGCGGUGAAAUGCGUAGAGAUCUGGAGGAAUACCGGUGGCGAAGGCGGCCCCCUGGACAAAGACUGACGCUCAGGUGCGAAAGCGUGGGGAGCAAACAGGAUUAGAACCCGAGUAGUC